CUUGUAGGCGGUUUGUCGCGUCUGCCGUGAAAAUCCGGGGCUCAACUCCGGACUUGCGGUGGGUACGGGCAGACUAGAGUGUGGUAGGGGAGACUGGAAUUCCUGGUGUAGCGGUGAAAUGCGCAGAUAUCAGGAGGAACACCGAUGGCGAAGGCAGGUCUCUGGGCCACUACUGACGCUGAGAAGCGAAAGCGUGGGGAGCGAACAGGAUUAGAUACCCUGGUAGUCC
rnacentral:rRNA from 1 species